UACGGAGGGUGCGAGCGUUGUCCGGAAUCACUGGGCGUAAAGGGCGCGUAGGCGGCCCGGUAAGUAGGGGGUGAAAUCUUGCGGCUCAACCGCAAGGCUGCCUUCUAAACUGCCAGGCUCGAGCACAGUAGAGGCAGGUGGAAUUCCCGGUGUAGCGGUGGAAUGCGUAGAGAUCGGGAAGAACAUCGGUGGCGAAGGCGGCCUGCUGGGCUGUUGCUGACGCUGAGGCGCGAAAGCCAGGGGAGCGAACGGG
rnacentral:rRNA from 1 species